rnacentral:rRNA from 1 species
AUUGAACGCUGGCGGCAGGCCUAACACAUGCAAGUCGAGCGAGCGGCGGACGGGUGCGUAAUGUCUGGGAAACUGCCUGUUGGAGGGGGAUAACUACUGGAAACGGUAGCUAAUACCGUAUACCAUCAGAUGUGCCCAGAUGGGAUUAGCUGGUGGGUGGGGUAACGGCCCACCUAGGCGACGAUCCCUAGCUGGUCUGAGAGGAUGACCAGCCACACUGGAACUGAGACACGGUCCAGACUCCUACGGGAGGCAGCAGUGGGGAAUAUUGCACAAUGGGCGCAAGCCUGAUGCAGCCAUGCCGCGUGUGUGAAGAAGGCCUUCGGGUUGUAAAGCACUUUCAGCGGGGAGGCGUUACCCGCAGAAGAAGCACCGGCUAACUCCGUGCCAGCAGCCGCGGUAAUUC